UGGGGGAUAUUGCACAAUGGGCGAAAGCCUGAUGCAGCAACGCCGCGUGAGGGAAGACGGUUUUCGGAUUGUAAACCUCUGUCUUCGGUGAAGAAACAAAUGACGGUAACCGAGGAGGAAGCCACGGCUAACUACGUGCCAGCAGCCGCGGUAAUACGUAGGUGGCAAGCAUUGUCCGGAAUUACUGGGUGUAAAGGGCGCGCAGGCGGGGAGACAAGUCAGCUGUGAAAACUAUGGGCUUAACCCAUAAACUGCAGUUGAAACUGUUUUUCUUGAGUGGAGUAGAGGUAGGCGGAAUUCCGAGUGUAGCGGUGAAAUGCGUAGAUAUUCGGAGGAACACCAGUGGCGAAGGCGGCCUACUGGGCUCUAACUGACGCUGAGGCUCGAAAGUGUGGGGAGCAAACA
rnacentral:rRNA from 1 species